AUUGACACAGUAAACAUCGCGGGAAUAUUACGUUUGUUUAUUUCCGAGGAACGAACACGAAACUUCAUUCUGCGUGGAAUGUUCGUAUGAAGAGUAGUCCUGUGUGCCAGACGCGGUCGAACGCUUUAGAAAUAUCACAGAAAACCAUGCAUAGCGAUGAAAAAGAGGCCCUUGACGUACCGUACUGAUGAUGUUCACAAUCAGCGUCUCUCUGACGGUGGACACGGAGUCGCCGCACGUGUUCUCGGCGUUCACGGCUCCGGAACUUUUGAAAUCGAAUCCGCGCGGAUUAUGGGCGUA